rnacentral:rRNA from 1 species
GAUGAACGCUGGCGGCGUGCCUAAUACAUGCAAGUAGAACGCUGAAGGAAGGAGCCUGCUCUUUCCGGAUGAGUUGCGAACGGGUGAGUAACGCGUAGGUAACCUGCCUGGUAGCGGGGGAUAACUAUUGGAAACGAUAGCUAAUACCGCAUAACAGUAGAUGUUGCAUGAUAUCUACUUAAAAGGUGCAAUUGCACCACUACCAGAUGGACCUGCGUUGUAUUAGCUAGUUGGUGAGGUAACGGCUCACCAAGGCGACGAUACAUAGCCGACCUGAGAGGGUGAUCGGCCACACUGGGACUGAGACACGGCCCAGACUCCUACGGGAGGCAGCAGUAGGGAAUCUUCGGCAAUGGACGGAAGUCUGACCGAGCAACGCCGCGUGAGUGAAGAAGGUUUUCGGAUCGUAAAGCUCUGUUGUAAGAGAAGAACGAGUGUGAGAGUGGAAAGUUCACACUGUGACGGUAUCUUACCAGAAAGGGACGGCUAACUACGUG